UACGAAGGGGGCUAGCGUUGCUCGGAAUUAUCGGGCGUAAAGGGCUCGUAGGCGGUUUGUCGCGUCGGGAGUGAAAACGCCGGGCUUAACUCGGUGCUUGCUUUCGAUACGGGCAGACUAGAGGCAUGCAGGGGAGAACGGAAUUCCUGGUGUAGCGGUGAAAUGCGCAGAUAUCAGGAGGAACACCGGUGGCGAAGGCGGUUCUCUGGGCAUGUCCUGACGCUGAGGAGCGAAAGUGUGGGGAGCGAACAGG
rnacentral:rRNA from 1 species